rnacentral:rRNA from 1 species
AGAGUUUGAUCCUGGCUCAGGAUGAACGCUAGCGACAGGCUUAACACAUGCAAGUCGAGGGCAGCAUAGAAGUAGCAAUACUUUGGUGGCGACCGGCGCACGGGUGAGUAACGCGUAUGCAACCUACCUAUCAGAGGGGAAUAACCCGGCGAAAGUCGGACUAAUACCGCAUAAAACAGGGGCACCGCAUGGUGAUAUUUGUUAAAGAAAUUCGCUGAUAGAUGGGCAUGCGUUCCAUUAGGUAGUUGGUGAGGUAACGGCUCACCAAGCCGACGAUGGAUAGGGGAACUGAGAGGUUGGUCCCCCACACUGGUACUGAGACACGGACCAGACUCCUACGGGAGGCAGCAGUGAGGAAUAUUGGUCAAUGGGCGGGAGCCUGAACCAGCCAAGUCGCGUGAAGGAAGAAGGAUCUAUGGUUCGUAAACUUCUUUUGCAGGGGAAUAAAGUGCAGGACGUGUCCUGUUUUGUAUGUACCCUGAGAAUAAGGAUCGGCUAACUCCGUGCCAGCAGCCGCGGUAAUACGGAGGAUCCGAGCGUUAUCCGGAUUUAUUGGGUUUAAAGGGUGCGUAGGUGGUUUGAUAAGACAGCGGUGAAAGUUUGCAGCUUAACUGUAAAAAUGCCGUUGAAACUGUCGGACUUGAGUGUAAAUGAGGUAGGCGGAAUGCGUGGUGUAGCGGUGAAAUGCAUAGAUAUCACGCAGAACUCCGAUUGCGAAGGCAGCUUACUAAGCUACAACUGACACUGAAGCACGAAAGCGUGGGGAUCAAACAGGAUUAGAUACCCUGGUAGUCG